rnacentral:rRNA from 1 species
GAUGAACGCUGGCGGCGUGCCUAAUACAUGCAAGUCGAGCGAACGGACGAGAAGCUUGCUUCUCUGAUGUUAGCGGCGGACGGGUGAGUAACACGUGGAUAACCUACCUAUAAGACUGGGAUAACUUCGGGAAACCGGAGCUAAUACCGGAUAAUAUUUUGAACCGCAUGGUUCAAAAGUGAAAGACGGUCUUGCUGUCACUUAUAGAUGGAUCCGCGCUGCAUUAGCUAGUUGGUAAGGUAACGGCUUACCAAGGCAACGAUGCAUAGCCGACCUGAGAGGGUGAUCGGCCACACUGGAACUGAGACACGGUCCAGACUCCUACGGGAGGCAGCAGUAGGGAAUCUUCCGCAAUGGGCGAAAGCCUGACGGAGCAACGCCGCGUGAGUGAUGAAGGUCUUCGGAUCGUAAAACUCUGUUAUUAGGGAAGAACAUAUGUGUAAGUAACUGUGCACAUCUUGACGGUACCUAAUCAGAAAGCCACGGCUAACUACGUGCCAGCAGCCGCGGUAAUACGUANGUGGCAAGCGUUAUCCGGAANUUAUGGGCGUAAAGCGCGCGUAGGCGGUUUUUUAGUCUGAUGUGAAAGCCCACGGCUCAACCGUGGAGGGUCAUUGGAAACUGGAAAACUUGAGUGCAGAAGAGGAAAGUGGAAUUCCAUGUGUAGCGGUGAAAUGCGCAGAGAUAUGGAGGAACACCAGUGGCGAAGGCGACUUUCUGGUCUGUAACUGACGCUGAUGUGCGAAAGCGUGGGGAUCAAACAGGAUUAGAUACCCUGGUAGUCCACGCCGUAAACGAUGAGUGCUAAGUGUUAGGGGGUUUCCGCCCCUUAGUGCUGCAGCUAACGCAUUAAGCACUCCGCCUGGGGAGUACGACCGCAAGGUUGAAACUCAAAGGAAUUGACGGGGACCCGCACAAGCGGUGGAGCAUGUGGUUUAAUUCGAAGCAACGCGAAGAACCUUACCAAAUCUUGACAUCCUUUGACAACUCUAGAGAUAGAGCUUUCCCCUUCGGGGGACAAAGUGACAGGUGGUGCAUGGUUGUCGUCAGCUCGUGUCGUGAGAUGUUGGGUUAAGUCCCGCAACGAGCGCAACCCUUAAGCUUAGUUGCCAUCAUUAAGUUGGGCACUCUAAGUUGACUGCCGGUGACAAACCGGAGGAAGGUGGGGAUGACGUCAAAUCAUCAUGCCCCUUAUGAUUUGGGCUACACACGUGCUACAAUGGACAAUACAAAGGGCAGCGAAACCGCGAGGUCAAGCAAAUCCCAUAAAGUUGUUCUCAGUUCGGAUUGUAGUCUGCAACUCGACUACAUGAAGCUGGAAUCGCUAGUAAUCGUAGAUCAGCAUGCUACGGUGAAUACGUUCCCGGGUCU